rnacentral:rRNA from 1 species
UACAGAGGUCCCGAGCGUUGUUCGGAUUCAUUGGGCGUAAAGGGUGCGUAGGCGGCGGGGAAAGUCUGAUGUGAAAUCCUGGGGCUCAACCCUGGAACUGCAUUAGAUACUUCCUUGCUAGAGUACUGGAGAGGAAACUGGAAUUUACGGUGUAGCAGUGAAAUGCGUAGAGAUCGUAAGGAAGACCAGUGGCGAAGGCGAGUUUCUGGACAGUUACUGACGCUGAGGCACGAAGGCCAGGGGAGCAAACGGG